rnacentral:rRNA from 1 species
UACGGAGGAUCCGAGCGUUAUCCGGAUUUAUUGGGUUUAAAGGGUGCGUAGGCGGUUUGAUAAGUUAGAGGUGAAAUGUCGGGGCUCAACCCCGAAACUGCCUCUAAUACUGUUGGACUAGAGAAUAGUUGCGGUAGGCGGAAUGUAUGGUGUAGCGGUGAAAUGCUUAGAGAUCAUACAGAACACCGAUUGCGAAGGCAGCUUACCAUACUAUAUCUGACGCUGAGGCACGAAAGCGUGGGGAGCAAAUAGG